rnacentral:rRNA from 1 species
UAGGGAAUAUUGCGCAAUGGGCGAAAGCCUGACGCAGCGACACCGUGUGAAGGAUGAAGGUCUUCGGAUCGUAAACUUCUGUCAAUUGGGGAAGAAGGUAAUAAGGUUAAUAGCCUCUAUUACUGACGGUACCCAAUAAGGAAGUCUCGGCUAACUCCGUGCCAGCAGCCGCGGUAAGACGGAGGAGGCAAGCGUUGUCCGGAAUCAUUGGGCGUAAAGAGCGCGUAGGCGGUUUUUCAAGUCAUAUGUGAAAACUUCAGGCUUAACCUGAUGAUUGCAUAUGAAACUGGAUAACUUGAGUGCAGCAGAGGAAAGUGGAAUUCCUGGUGUAGCGGUGAAAUGUGCAGAUAUCAGGAAGAACAUCAGUGGCGAAGGCGACUUUCUGGGCUGUUACUGACGCUGAGGUGCGAAAGCUAGGGGAGCGAACAG